GGGAGGCAGCAGUGGGGAAUAUUGCACAAUGGGCGCAAGCCUGAUGCAGCCAUGCCGCGUGUGUGAAGAAGGCCUUCGGGUUGUAAAGCACUUUCAGCGGGGAGGAAGGCGGUGAGGUUAAUAACCUUGUCGAUUGACGUUACCCGCAGAAGAAGCACCGGCUAACUCCGUGCCAGCAGCCGCGGUAAUACGGAGGGUGCAAGCGUUAAUCGGAAUUACUGGGCGUAAAGCGCACGCAGGC
rnacentral:rRNA from 1 species